rnacentral:tRNA from 1 species
GCCUUCGUGGUGUAACGGUUAGCACACUCGAUGCGUAUUCGAGAAGUCAGUGGUUCGAAUCCGGGCGAGGGCA